rnacentral:lncRNA from 1 species
GAAUCCGUUGUGGAAUGAAACACGGUUACGCCCCCAGUGACUUGCCGGUCAAAGCAAAGCGCAGCACCUACAACUACAGCCUCCCCAUCACCGUCAAGAAGACAUCCAGCCAGCUUGUCACCAUGCAUGACCUGAAGCAGGGCCUGGGCCCGUCGGGGACGAGUGGUGCUCGGAAACCAGCUUCCAGCAAGUACAAGCUCAAGGUGGGCGCCCCUGGAGGCCAGGAAUGGAGGGGAGGACUUCCCUCUUGGGGCCGGGCACCUUGUGGGUGACACCUGGGGGGCUGUGAUUAGGGCAGCUCUGCCCACCGGGGCCUCGGCACCUUGCUUCCUUUUAGGUCAGCCUUCAGACACUGAGGGUGAGAACUCGGGUGCAAAGCCCCAGGGCUGUGUGUGUUGGGGACAUCUGGCGAAGAGGUGGUGACAAGUCUCAGGGAAGUCUGGCACCAGCAGCUGCAUGUGGUUGUCCUUCUCGAGCCCUUUGGGAGCCUGGGCCCCCACUGAGCCACGUGACCACUCCGGGAAUGAUCGGAAUUGGGCACACACAGGAGGACAGAGCCAGAGCAGGCCAUGUGGGCUGCAGCUGUGGCAGGAGCCUCACUGGCUCACGUUUCCGUCAGUGCGGUUGCCCAGCGGGGGUUGGCGGUUUCCAGAGCUGUUCCCACAUUCAGGCUCCCGCAAGCCGCUCCACAGCCCUGGGGGAGGCCGAGAAGGGGGCAUCCCGCACGGUGGAAUCA